rnacentral:lncRNA from 1 species
CGUGCAGCCAUAUUGAGUUUAUUUUUGCGAAUUCGGAAGCAUUGACGCGAAGGUAAUCUCUUCUUCUUUUCUUGUGCUUUUCUUCUUUUUAUCAUUUUUUUGCAGUUCAGGCGAGAUCCACGCACGAAAAAGGUGGUCUUAAGGUAUGAGGGGAGGGUACUUAUCCUUACAUAAUUACCGGAGAGAUUACUCUCAAAAUGGCCCGAUUCAUGGAAAGAUUACUCUCAAAAUGGCCCAAUUCUUGGAGAGAUUACUCUCAAAAUGGCCCGAUUCUUGGAGCGAUUACUCUCAAAAUGGUCCGGUUCUUGGAGAGAUUACUCUCAAAAUGGCCUAAUUCUUGGAGAGAUUACUCUCAAAAUGGCCCGAUUCUUGGAGAGAUUACUCUCAGCGUGGCCCGAUUACCGGAGAGACCAACUUAAGGUGCAAAGGGACUCAUAUGUCCACCUUAAUAUUGGAAAGUUAUAAAGCUUAAACUCGACAACGACAUCAAUUUGAACACUUGGAAAACUUUGAAGAUUUGGUGGACUUUGCAGACUUUAACUCGAAGUUUUGGAGGGCUUAAACAAUUCAACUUUAAAACCGACGAAUUUGAAGACUGAAACUUUAAGACCGACGAACUUAAAGACUUUGACUUUGAGACUUGGAGGGCCUAAAUAUUUCAACUUCAAGAUCACCAAAUUUGAAGACUUCAACUUGAAGACCUACGGACUUGAAGACUUCAACUUUGAGACUUGGAGGGCCUAAAUAUUUCAACUUGAAGAUCAACGGAUUUGAAGACUUCAACUUGAAGACCAACAGGAUUGAAGAUUUCAACUUGGGGACUUCAAAUUAAAUACACUUGAAGACUUCAACUUGGAGAUUUCGAGGGCUUAAAUGUUUCAGCCUCUAUUUUACUUUACAUUGUUCGACUUUUAUCUUAGUCGCAUAAUUUGCAGCUUUACGUGCUUGUAAUAAAUGAUUCAUAUCUUAUCGUGGGAGAAUUCAAAUAAUGAACCAUUUGAUAUUUUGGAAAUUAGACUUCAAUGUAUAAAAUAUAUCCAAAAUUCAGAAUCAAAC